GCCCUCAUAGCUCAGCUGGACAGAGCAACUGCCUUCUAAGCAGUGGGUCGGACGUUCGAGUCGUCUUGAGGGCGCCA
rnacentral:tRNA from 1 species